rnacentral:misc_RNA from 1 species
AACUCCCCUCGGCUUUAACACUUUCUAAAAGGGUUAUUGACGGAUUCUGAGUGUUGGCGUGUCAACGCCUCGCUUUAAAUAUAUCAGCACUUUUGGAUGGUUCCAUGUUAGUUCAAAAGACGUACUUGAUGUCGUAUUUAUACAAUUCAUCGAGAUGGUCUUUGGUCGUAUCGACUAUCCGCUAAUAUGAUGACUUGAAGAAUAGCUUCCUAACCCCAUUAAAUUUACC